ACAUUUUAUCAGAAAGUCAGCCCUGAUACUGCAAGAUAAUUUACAAAAUACAGCCUUAAAGAUGGACCUUUAAACCUAACUGGCUCCCUUACAAGAGUCAGCGCAAAGGAGAAAUUAUGCAAGUACAGAACUAAUGGGGUAAUUUUGUAGAUUUGGACUUAGAUUUGGACUGAAAUUUCCAUGGUGUUUUCAAUUGUUUGAGUAGACAUAAUGCACAUGCCAAAAACUCUGAAAGGUCGGUUCAUUUUCUUCUCAGGCUUUUCAACUAAGGUGAUUUUUUUAGAUUUUAUUUUAGGGGCAGCUCCAAAUGAUCUCAGAUGGAAUUUUGCUUGAAUAACAACUUCAACAUUCCUGUUGCAGACAGACCAUUUCGGUUCUUCUGUGGUGUCUUUCAGAGGAAGAGUAGGAGGAACUGGAAAAAAAUUAGGGACUGUGGGAACUGUUUCUGUACGGCCAAUUCUGUGUUCAUUUGAACUGAGCUCACACAUCAGCAAAAACCAUUUACUAAAUCAUCUGCUGUAAAUGGAGCCUUCAGCUCAGCUAAAAAUCUGACUUGUAGUGUGUGUUUGACCAGGAAAGUAUGAUUGGCAGCCUGGGAAAUGUAACAGUACU